AGUGGCGGACGGGUGAGUAACGCGUGGGAAUCUGCCUUCAGGAGGGGGAUAACAGAGGGAAACCUUUGCUAAUACCCCAUAUGCCUAUGGGUGAAAUGAAUUUCGCCUGAAGAUGAGCCCGCGUCUGAUUAGCUAGUUGGUGGGGUAAAGGCCUACCAAGGCGACGAUCAGUAGCUGGUCUGAGAGGAUGAUCAGCCACACUGGGACUGAGACACGGCCCAGACUCCUACGGGAGGCAGCAGUGGGGAAUUUUCCGCAAUGGGCGAAAGCCUGACGGAGCAACGCCGCGUGAGUGAUGAAGGCCCUUGGGUCGUAAAGCUCUUUUGUCAGGGACGAUAAUGACGGUACCUGAUGAAUAAGCAUCGGCUAACUCUGUGCCAGCAGCCGCGGUAAUACAGAGGAUGCAAGCGUUAUCGGAAUUAUUGGGCGUAAAGCGUACGUAGGUGGCGAUUCAAGUCUGUGGUUAAAGCCUGCAGCUCAACUGCAGAAAGGCCCAUGGAAACUGAAACGCUAGAGUGCGAUAGAGGUAAGGGGAAUUCCCGGUGUAGCGGUGAAAUGUGGAGAUAUCGGGAAGAACACCAGCGGCGAAAGCGCCUUACUGGGUCGCAACUGACACUGAGGUACGAAAGCCAGGGGAGCAAAUGGGAUUAGAUACCCCAGUAGUCCUGGCCGUAAACGAUGGACACUAGGUGUUGCGCGUAUCGACCCGUGCAGUGCCGUAGCUAACGCGUUAAGUGUCCCGCCUGGGGAGUACGCACGCAAGUGUGAAACUCAAAGGAAUUGACGGGGGCCCGCACAAGCGGUGGAGCAUGUGGUUUAAUUCGAUGCAACGCGAAGAACCUUACCAGGGCUUGACAUACCGUGAAUUCUGGGGAAACUCGGAAGUGCCUUCGGGAACAUGGAUACAGGUGCUGCAUGGCUGUCGUCAGCUCGUGUCGUGAGAUGUUGGGUUAAGUCCCGCAACGAGCGCAACCCUCGUUUUCAGUUGCCAUCAUUAAGUUGGGCACUCUGGAGAGACUGCCGGUGACAAACCGGAGGAAGGUGGGGAUGACGUCAAGUCAGCAUGGCUCUUACGUCCUGGGCUACACACGUGCUACAAUGGGUCGGAUAAAGGGUAGCAAUCUCGCGAGAGGGAGCCAAUCCCAAAAACCGCCUCUCAGUUCGGAUUGUAGGCUGCAACUCGCCUACAUGAAGUCGGAAUCGCUAGUAAUCGCAGGUCAGCAUACUGCGGUGAAUACGUUCCCGGGCCUUGUACACACCGCCCGUCACACCAUGGAAGCUGGUCAUGCCCGAAGUCUGUAUUCUAACC
rnacentral:rRNA from 1 species